rnacentral:lncRNA from 1 species
CGCCCAGAGCCGCAGCCGCCGCGCAGGCAGGGCCGGGCCGGGCCGGGUGCGCGGGCACAAAGGGGCCGCUGCACAUGGCAGGCAGGCGAGCAGAUGCCAGCAGACAGCUUUUGUCGUCCAGUCUCCCAGUCAUCCGCCUGACCUGCUCCUGUCUGAACAUCCUACCGCGAGUCAAGGCAAAUGGGCUCAGCCGCUGUUCCACUCCACCCAGGCUUGGAGUGGACUCCCCGUGAGCCUGCAGAGGGGCAGGAUGCUGAGUAGCAGGCCAUGCGGGUGCGCCCGGGGUCUCACCCCAGCCCCAGGGAAGAGGCUGUUUCAUUCAGUGAACCAAGAGGUGAUGAAGGGGAGAGCUCAAGCGGCCUCCUGUUCCCUUGGGAACUUGAGGGGGUGUCGGGAUGUGUUCCCUUUCUGCACUCAGCUGGGAAAGAGCUGGUGGAGAAUUUUCCCUUCUGAGCAGAGAGAGAAUUCUCUUCACCUCCCCCGCCCCGCCCCCGCCCACUCCCACAGCCACCAGUUCUCUGGGCAACCCUAGUUAGCAGUUUGGGCCUUUCUUUCUGCACACAAUUGACCUGGAGGGCCUGAGUCUGGUCCAUUCAGAGGCCACAUGGAACACUCUGUUUUUGUCACUGCCCUCUCAUCUUCUAGAAGCAUAACCUUAUCCAACAGAAAGAGGCAAAAGCGAUUGGGCCCGACCUCUCCCAGUGACAGUGUUUGCACUUCAUUCCAUGGCACAGCGUCUUCUGUAACUUUAAGAUUUAACAUUUCAGAUUAUUUUCCACUGGGGCUCCCAUCGAUGCUGAGUUCUGGCUACUUUUUUCCCCUGAUGCUGAAAGGUUCGAUUCUUCCAUCUAUCCAUCAACAAAUCACAUUGAAUGACGGUGCUCAGUGACCCAGGAUGCCACUGGAGACAAAACACACUAUACAUAUUUUCUGGUCUCCCUGGAAAAUUAGUGCAAACACUUUCAUCACUGCGGAGAAGGGAAAUAUGCGCGGAGCUGUGAAAAUCUGCUUUGUUUUUUGUUUUUCUAAGAGGAGAUUUCCCCCUCCUUCAAACAGUGAAAUUUAUAUUGUUCUUUGUCUGCAAAUUAACCAGUUAAGUAGAAUUCCUGUAUGUCUCUUUCACUUUCUGCAAGCCAAGGCCCCUCUUUCUCUCCACCCUGUAUUCAUACAUAGUCCAGGAUCACCCCCUGUCCCCCUCCAAUGCUGCUUGAAAUUUCAUUCCAUUUUCGUCCUGACUUGUUCAAAGUAACAUUUAAAAUAUUUUAAUUCAAAUUCUUAUCUCAUCCAUCCUGUUUAAGUUCCAUUUUAAAGAAUCUUCUUUUCUUA